AUUGAACGCUGGCGGCAUGCCUUACACAUGCAAGUCGAACGGUAACAGGUCUUCGGAUGCUGACGAGUGGCGAACGGGUGAGUAAUACAUCGGAACGUGCCCGGUCGUGGGGGAUAACGAAGCGAAAGCUUUGCUAAUACCGCAUACGAUCUACGGAUGAAAGCAGGGGACCGCAAGGCCUUGCGCGAACGGAGCGGCCGAUGGCAGAUUAGGUAGUUGGUGGGAUAAAAGCCUACCAAGCCGACGAUCUGUAGCUGGUCUGAGAGGACGACCAGCCACACUGGGACUGAGACACGGCCCAGACUCCUACGGGAGGCAGCAGUGGGGAAUUUUGGACAAUGGGCGAAGGCCUGAUCCAGCCAUGCCGCGUGCAGGAUGAAGGCCUUCGGGUUGUAAACUGCUUUUGUACGGAACGAAAAGACUCUGGUUAAUACCUGGGGUCCAUGACGGUACCGUAAGAAUAAGCACCGGCUAACUACGUGCCAGCAGCCGCGGUAAUACGUAGGGUGCAAGCGUUAAUCGGAAUUACUGGGCGUAAAGCGUGCGCAGGCGGUUAUAUAAGACAGAUGUGAAAUCCCCGGGCUCAACCUGGGAACUGCAUUUGUGACUGUAUAGCUAGAGUACGGCAGAGGGGGAUGGAACUCCGCGUGUAGCAUGAAAUGCGUAGAUAUGCGGAGGAACACCGAUGGCGAAGGCAAUCCCCUGGGCCUGUACUGACGCUCAUGCACGAAAGCGUGUGGAGCAAACAGG
rnacentral:rRNA from 1 species